ensembl:lncRNA uncharacterized LOC114848379
AUGACAGAUGCCCAUAGAAUCAAUGCCUCACUGCUUUCUGUGAUACUACGAGUACUCGAGUAUUGGUACUUCUAUCACCUGUGUCGCACUUCCGCCACUUUGUGCGCUUUGCGGCCGCAGCAGCAGGGGGCGCUGCUCACCCUCCACCGCCAGGUAAGCGUCCAGGUCCACGUGCGCGACCCCGACUCUUCACUUUGGUGGUUUGGUGCUUUACGUCGGGGACGUGUGGCUCCGUCGAGGUCCGCCAUGAGCCGGCGCGAGGAACGUCCAGCCGUGAGUUCCCAUCGCUUUCGCUCCACUGACCUCGACGGCAGGCACGUGCGUCCAGGCGGCCGAAUGUGCGCGUGUCCUCCGCAGCAGAGCUCCAGGGCGGCCGUGCUGCCCCCCCUGUCCGGCCGGACCCUGCACCACCCCUCCUUCCUGCCUCACUACACCACCGCGCACUUUGGACGCCAGCGCAGGAACGGUCACAACCAGGAAGCCCACCCCAUCAUCCCAGCGGAGUUCUUCUACAGCGACCCCGCCAUGUGCCGUGGCACCAGGAUCCACAACGAAGUGACUGGCCUGAGGGUUCUGGAGUUUUUCAAGCUCAACACUCCGCCCCCAGUCAUGUCCGCUGGUCUGGCAACACCAAACAGACCAGACCCCUUCGGAUGUGGACCGCAUCCCAUGCGAGACCUGGGCAGCGCCAGCUGGAUGCUGCCACACCUCCGUCCAGUGCAUCCGAGGCACGUCAUCGUCCAGCUUUCCCAGGAGGAGGACCAGGUCAUCACCAACCUCCUGAAACUGCACCACCAGAGUCCAUUAGCAGGUUCUGAAAGCUCCAGCGCUGCUAAACUGGACUUUUUCAGUGCUGCAGGGCCACCUCUGGGCUUUAACUCCAGGCCGUUCCUCCAGGCGCCAGAACACCACACUUUACACCAUGAUGUGCAGCCGAGUGCUUGGUCCGAUUCAGAGCUGGAGGCAGCAAACACUCUCGUGAGUUGCUUUGUCUCAUCACAGGGCGAUGAAAUCUGCCACCAGUAUGAAUACGGAUGUGCAGAAAGAGGUCUGGGGCUUCUGCCAGACCAGCUUUCAUCCUCAGGCACUAACAGCCCACGUGGACCUGAGGCUCCGCCUGCAUCCAGUCCCCACUCACAGAGCGCCCUGGCUUCCUGUUGCAUGGGGCCGAAGGUGGACGCCAGCAGGCCGGACGUCGCGUCAGCGGAGGACGGGCUGACGUCUGGAGGUCUGGCAGAGGUGAGGGGUCAGACGCUGGCGGACUCAGAGGGGGACGCUGUGCAUGUGCUCUUGAGCCUCGGGGAGGUGGAGCCUGUUGGACCUAUGCAGUGACUGUAUUCAAGAGCAUGAUCACAUGUUUAUCAGUAUAUUAAACUCAGGUUCCAUAUUUUGCAUUUUGCAGUUUUUUUGCACAGCAUUUUUUUAAUGAAUACAUAACACCUUUUUUUCCAAGAAUGAGAAUUUAUUUCCCACUUUAAAUAACCAGUAUUUUCAUGCCUGUAUUGCACAAACCUUGUUCUUUUCUUAGUGUUCAAUAAAAAUAAUCCCCACUUGAGCCUGUUACUUAAA